rnacentral:lncRNA from 1 species
GACACAGUGAAACACGCGUCUUGCAAGGAAAAACCUGUGAGAUUUCUGAAAAUCAUGUUAGAGCCCUACUGAGGCAGAGGCCUGGGCCAGCCGAGAAAGGUGAGAGGAGGCCCUGUUGUAACACAGCUGGAAAGCAGGAUUCAUAGAUGGAUUUCAUGUGGAAUCUAGGCCCUCAAGGAUGGGGCCCUCAAAGAUGACACCAAGGUCUGUGCUUGAGAAGACAGAAGGAGCCGCUUC